GACGAACGCUGGCGGCGUGCCUAAUACAUGCAAGUCGAACGGAGUGGCGAACGGGUGAGUAACACGUGGGUGACCUGCCCUGCACUUCGGGAUAAGCCUGGGAAACUGGGUCUAAUACCGGAUAGUGUGGGAUGGGCCCGCGGCCAAUCAGCUUGUUGGUGGGGUAAUGGCCUUCCAAGGCGGUGACGUGUAGCCGGCCUGAGAGGGUCGACGGUCACAUUGGGACUGAGAGACGGCCCAGAUUGCUACGGGAGGCAGCAGUGGAGAAUAUUGCCCAAGGGGCGGAAGCCAGAUGCAUCGACGCCGCGUGGGGGAUGACGGCCUGCGGGUUGUAAACUCCUUUGACCAUCGACGUGGUAGAUGGAGAAGAAGCACCGGCUAACUACGAGCCAGCAGGCGAGGUAAUAC
rnacentral:rRNA from 1 species